UACGGAGGGGGCAAGCGUUGUUCGGAAUCAUUGGGCGUAAAGAGUAUGUAGGCGGCUAUUUAAGUCAGGCGUGUAAGCCCACGGCUCAACCGUGGAAUUGCGUUUGAAACUAUUUAGCUUGAGUACAGGAGAGGAAGGCGGAAUUCCCAGUGUAGCGGUGAAAUGCAUUGAUAUUGGGAAGAACACCAGUGGCGAAGGCGCUCUGCUGGGCCAUCACUGACGCUCAUGGACGAAAGCCAGGGGAGCGAAAGGG
rnacentral:rRNA from 1 species